GACGAACGCUGGCGGCGUGCUUAACACAUGCAAGUCGAACGCGCCUGUCCUCUGGGUUUCUGGGGGGUGUGUGAGUGGCGAACGGGUGAGUAACACGUGAGUAACCUGCCCCCUUCUUCGGGAUAACGGUCUGAAAGGGCUGCUAAUACCGGGUAUUCACUGGUCUCCGCAUGGGGUCUGGAGGAAAGGUUUUUUUCUGGUGGGUGAUGGGCUCGCGGCCUAUCGGCUUGUUGGUGGGGUGAUGGCCCACCAAAGCUUUGACGGGUAGCCGGCCUGAGAGGGUGACCGGUCACAUUGGGACGGAGCUGCGGCCCAGACGCGUACGCGGGGGAGAAGUGGGGACUAUUGGCGAAUGGGCGAAAGAGUGAUGCAGCGACGGCGAGGGAGGGAUGGGGGCCGUAGGGUUGUGAAACUCUUUAGCCCGUGGUCAAGCCGCGACGUGGGUCGUGGUGAGGGUAGUGGGUAAAGAAGCGCCGGCUAACUACGUG
rnacentral:rRNA from 1 species